UACGUAGGAUCCAAGCGUUAUCCGGAAUUACUGGGCGUAAAGCGUGCGUAGGUGGACUGUUAAGUGAGAUGCGAAAUCCUGUGGCUCAACCAUAUGGACUGUAUCUCAUACUGGCAAUCUAGAGGACGGCAGAGGCAAGUGGAAUUACUGGUGUAGCAGUGAAAUGCGUAGAUAUCAGUAGGAACACCAAUGGCGAAGGCAGCUUGCUGGGCCGACCCUGACACUGAGGCACGAAAGCGUGGGGAGCGAACAGG
rnacentral:misc_RNA from 1 species